rnacentral:rRNA from 1 species
UACGAAGGGGGCUAGCGUUGCUCGGAAUCACUGGGCGUAAAGGGUGCGUAGGCGGGUCUUAAGUCAGAGGUGAAAUCCUGGAGCUCAACUCCAGAACUGGCCUUUGAUACUGAGGAUCUUGAGUUCGGGAGAGGUGAGUGGAACUGCGAGUGUAGAGGUGAAAUUCGUAGAUAUUCGCAAGAACACCAGUGGCGAAGGCGGCUCACUGGCCCGAUACUGACGCUGAGGCACGAAAGCGUGGGGAGCAAACAGGG